rnacentral:rRNA from 1 species
UACAGAGGGUGCAAGCGUUGUUCGGAAUUAUUGGGCGUAAAGGGCGCGUAGGCGGUGCUGUAAGUCUGUGGUGAAAUCUCUGGGCUCAACUCAGAGUCUGCCAUAGAAACUGCAGUGCUGGAGUGUGGGAGAGGUGAGUGGAAUUCCGGGUGUAGCGGUGAAAUGCGCAGAUAUCGGGAGGAACACCGGUGGCGAAGGCGGUUCUCUGGGCCUGUACUGACGCUGAGGAGCGAAAGCGUGGGGAGCGAACAGG